AGUCGANCGGCAGCACGGGUGCUUGCACCUGGUGGCGAGUGGCGAACGGGUGAGUAAUAUAUCGGAACGUACCUUAUUGUGGGGGAUAACGCAGCGAAAGCUGUGCUAAUACCGCAUAAUCCCUUAGGGGGAAAGCGGGGGACCGUAAGGCCUCGCGCAAUUAGAGCGGCCGAUACCUGAUUAGCUAGUUGGUGAGGUAAAGGCUCACCAAGGCAACGAUCAGUAGCUGGUCUGAGAGGACGAUCAGCCACACUGGGACUGAGACACGGCCCAGACUCCUACGGGAGGCAGCAGUGGGGAAUUUUGGACAAUGGGGGCAACCCUGAUCCAGCAAUGCCGCGUGAGUGAAGAAGGCCUUCGGGUUGUAAAGCUCUUUUGUCAGGGAAGAAACAGCAGCUCUAACACAGUCUGCGAAUGACGGUACCUGAAGAAUAAGCACCGGCUAACUACGUGCCAGCAGCCGCGGUAAUACGUAGGGUGCAAGCGUUAAUCGGAAUUACUGGGCGUAAAGCGUGCGCAGGCGGUUAUGUAAGACAGGCGUGAAAUCCCCGGGCUUAACCUGGGAAUUGCGCUUGUGACUGCAUAGCUAGAGUAUGUCAGAGGGGGGUAGAAUUCCACGUGUAGCAGUGAAAUGCGUAGAGAUGUGGAGGAAUACCAAUGGCGAAGGCAGCCCCCUGGGAUAAUACUGACGCUCAUGCACGAAAGCGUGGGGAGCAAACAGGAUUGGAUACCCUGGUAGUCCACGCCCUAAACGAUGCUGACUAGUUGUUCGGGAAUUUAUUCCUGAGUAACGUAGCUAACGCGUGAAGUCAGCCGCCUGGGGAGUACGGUCGCAAGAUUAAAACUCAAAGGAAUUGACGGGGACCCGCACAAGCGGUGGNUGAUGUGGAUUAAUUCGAUGCAACGCGAAAAACCUUACCUACCCUNGAC
rnacentral:rRNA from 1 species